AGCCUCUCAAGUGCUGGGAUUACUGGCGUGCGCCACCACGCCCAGCUCAAAUCACUUUCAAUAUAACAUCCUCUCAUUACUACUCCUGAUAACAUUCCACGUUUGCUACAUCCUGCCUUUCAUUUUCCUCUGUUUGAUCUGAAAACUACAGGGAAGCAAGGGCAAUAUUUCUUUGAUCUGAGACCAACUUGCUCUAUGCAUAAAGUGCAUAAUCAGGACGGUUAUGAAUACACAUGAACAUAUAUAAGCUCAUCUGUUCUCUUUUCUCAGUUGCUAAGAACGAUAAGAAAACGAAGUCUUCAGGUCACCGACUGAAGCACCGCAUAGAAAUUUCGGCGACUGAGGUUCUGGUGCACGAAAUAAAGGACGAGUAUUUGUGA
rnacentral:lncRNA from 1 species